UAAUUCAAACAUCAAAACUAAAGUUGAUCUUUUAUGAUCCAGGAUUCCAAUCGUACAAAUGACACCAAUUCAUCGGGGAGCUUAAGUCAUUAUACUUUGUUUACAACUUCAAACUCAAACAGUUCUGCUUCUCAUAAAAGUUAUUUGACGUCACCACCUUCAAAUGAAAGCAUUUCAUCAGGAACAACAAAUGGAGAUAAUUUGUUUACAAACUCCAAUUUGAGUGACUCAAGAAAUUCUGUGUCACCAAAAUAUUUUACAUCACCACCUACAAACAACAGCAUUUCAUUGGGGACUGAACAGCCAGAAAGUCAAAAAACAAGCCCCAAUAUCAACAACUUGAGCACUUCUUCUGCUCAAACAAGUCACUUGGCUCCCAAAAGUACAAGCAACAGCACUUUUCCAAGAACAACAGGGAAUGAAAGUUUGCUUACAACCUUGAAUUUAAGUUCAUCAAGCAGCUCAGUUUCUCAAAUAAGU